GACGAACGCUGGCGGCGUGCUUAACACAUGCAAGUCGAACGGUAAGGCCCUCCGGGGUACACGAGUGGCGAACGGGUGAGUAACACGUGGGUGAUCUGCCCUGCACUUCGGGGUAAGCCUGGGAAACUGGGUCUAAUACCGGAUAGGACCACUGCCUGCAUGGGCGGUGGUGGAAAGCUUUUGCGGUGUGGGAUGGGCCCGCGGCCUAUCAGCUUGUUGGUGGGGUGAUGGCCUACCAAGGCGACGACGGGUAGCCGGCCUGAGAGGGUGACCGGCCACACUGGGACUGAGAUACGGCCCAGACUCCUACGGGAGGCAGCAGUGGGGAAUAUUGCACAAUGGGCGCAAGCCUGAUGCAGCGACGCCGCGUGAGGGAUGACGGCCUUCGGGUUGUAAACCUCUUUCAGCACCGACGAAGCGCAAGUGACGGUAGGUGCAGAAGAAGGACCGGCCAACUACGUGCCAGCAGCCGCAGUAA
rnacentral:rRNA from 1 species